GAGAGAGGUGGAGCAGAGUAAAUCAGAGUGAGAGAGAGAGGUGGAGCAGAGUAAAGCAGAGCGAUAGAGUGAGAGAGAGGGGGAGGGAGCUUAAUCUGUUCCACUGCAUCUCACCGGUGACAGCAGACUGAGUUCAUCAGUAGCCUCCUACAGCUCAACAGAAGUGUACCUCGCGGGUGUUUUCUACCGUAGCAUUACUUUUAUCCUAGGCAUCUAACAGCACGGCGCAGGACUUUUGGAAUCCAGAAUUUUACCUGCUGUGAACAGGUAAAAUAAUUUAACACAUUACCCUGUUCAUUUUUACAAAGAGUUCUAUUUGUGGUAAAGAGAGAGAAAAGACCUAAAGAGGUCGGUGGAGAUAGCUGAAGGACUGCAGAGAGAGAGAGAGAGAGAAGAAGCCCUAGAGGUCAGUGGAGCUAGCUGAUGGACUGCAGAGAGAGAGAAGCCCUAAAGAGGUCAGUGGAGAUAGCUGACGGACUGCAGAGAGAGAGAAGCCCUAAAGAGGUCAGUGGAGCUACCUGAAGGAAUACAGAGCGAGAGAGAGAGAGAGAGAAGCCCUAGAGGUCAGUGGAGCUAGCUGAUGGACUGCAGAGAGAGAGAAGAGAGAGAAGACCUAAAGAGGUCAGUGGAGCUAGCUGACGGACUGCAGAGAGAGAGAAGCCCUAAAGAGGUCAGUGGAGCUACCUGAAGGAAUACAGAGCGAGAGAGAGAGAGAGAGAAGCCCUAGAGGUCAGUGGAGCUAGCUGAUGGACUGCAGAGAGAGAGAAGAGAGAGAAGACCUAAAGAGGUCAGUGGAGCUAGCUGAUGGACUGCAGAGAGAGAGAGAGAGAGAAGACCUAAAGAGGUCAGUAGAGCUAGCUGAUGGACUGCAGAGAGAGAGAAGACCUAAAGAGGUCAGUGGAGCUAGCUGACGGACUGCAGAGAGAGAGAAGCCCUAAAGAGGUCAGUGGAGCUAGCUGAUGGACUGCAGAGAGAGAGAAGACCUAAAGAGGUCAGUGGAGCUAGCUGAAGGACAGCAGAGAGAGAGAGAGAGAGAGAAGCCCUAGAGGUCAGUGGAGCUAGCUGACGGACUGCAGAGAGAGAGAAGCCCUAAAGAGGUCAGUGGAGCUAGCUGAUGGACUGCAGAGAGAGAUAAGCCCUAAUGAGGUCACUGGAGCUAGCUGAAGGACUGCAGAGAGAGAGAAGCCCUAAAGAGGUCAGUGGAGCUACCUGAAGGACUGCAGAGAGAGAGAGAAGUCCUAGAGGUCAGUAGAGCUAGCUGAUGGACUGCAGAGAGAGAGAGAGAGAAGCCCUAGAGGUCAGUGGAGCUAGCUGAUGGACUGCAGAGAGAGAGAGAGAGAAGACCUAAAGAGGUCAGUAGAGCUAGCUGAUGGACUGCAGAGAGAGAGAGAGAAGCCCUAGAGGUCAGUAGAGCUAGCUGAUGGACUGCAGAGAGAGAGAGAGAGAAGCCCUAGAGGUCAGUGGAGCUAGCUGAUGGACUGCAGAGAGAGAGAGAGAGAAGACCUAAAGAGGUCAGUAGAGCUAGCUGAUGGACUGCAGAGAGAGAUAAGCCCUAAAGAGGUCAGUGGAGCUACCUGAAGGACUGCAGAGAGAGAGAGAGAAGUCCUAGAGAGCUCAGUAGAGUUAGCUGACGGACUGCAGAGAGAGAUAAGCCCUAAAGAGGUCAGUGGAGCUAGCUGAAGGACUGCAGAGAGAGAUAUAAGUCCUAAAGAGGUCAGUGGAGCUAGCUGACGGACUGCAGAGAGAGAUAUAAGUCCUAAAGAGGUCAGUAGAGCUAGCUGAUGGACUGCAGAGAGAGAGAGAGAGAAGUCCUAAAGAAGUCAGUGGAGCUACCUGAAGGACUGCAGAGAGAGAGAGAGAAGUCCUAGAGGUCAGUGGAGCUAGCUGACGGUUCUGAUACCGCUGGCAGUGCCAGGUUGGAUCUGGUGCCUCUGGCAGUGCCAGGUCGAAUCUGGUGUGGCUGGCAGUGCCAGUUUGGAUCUGAAUACAUAUGGAUGUCCGGUAAAUUUCUCAAAUUUCCAGGAAAUUAAAAUCUUCACGGUCAAAUUGUCUGGAGACAAAUUUUCCGAAAGGAAACUGAAAUGGCAUAUAAAUGGCCAGUGUCACUUUGUUUGUGCUGCACACCAUGGUUCACCAGCAGCCGCAUACAUCGAAAGAUUAAGCUACAAGACAAAAAAGCUUGCAAGAAUUGGACCCUAUUUUUUCAUUUUCGCCUAAAAUGACAUACCCAAAUCUAACUGCCUGUCGCUCAGGCCCUGAAGCAAGGAUAUUCUUGGUACCAUUCUAAAGGAAACACUUUGAAGUUUGUGGAAAUGUGAAAGGAAUGUUGGAGAAUAUAACACAUUAGAUCUGGUAAAAGAUAAUAGAAAGAAAAAAUAUAUACAUUCCGUCAUCUUUGAAAUGCAAGAGAAAGGCCAUAAUGUAUUAUUCCAGCCCAGGUGCAAUUUAGAUAUUGGCCACUAGAUGGCAGCAAUGUACGUGCAAAGUCUUAGACUGAUCCAAUGAAACAUUGUAUUUCUGUUCAAAAUCAAGACUGCCCAAAUGUGCCUAAUUUGUUUAUUAAUAACUUUUCAUGUUCAAAAUUGUGCACUCUCCUCAAACAAUAGCAUGGUAUUAUUUCACCGUAAUAGCUACUGUAAAUUGGACAGUGCAGUUAGAUUAACAAGAAUUUAAGCUUUCUGCCAAUAUCAGAUAUGUUUAUGUCCUGGGAUAUGUUCUUGUUACUUACAACCUCAUGCUAAUCGCAUUAGCCUACGUUAGCUCAACCGUCCCGCGAUGGGGACACUGAUCCUGAUCCCGCUCAUAGUCAUCUGUAGGUGGAAAAUUUUAUAGUCUUUAUUUAUUUAAUUGUAUAAAUAUAUAUUAUAUUUGAGAUUCUUCAAAUAUAAUACCCUUUUGCCUUGAUGACAGGUUUGCAAAAAAAAAAAAUCAGUCCCCACCUUUAUUGUCCAAUCCCGGUCACUUAAAAUGAUUUGUGUAUGUAUAUAUUUUUAAACUGAUACACUCAAUCCAAACUGUCCAGUGGUCAUUUGAUGAAAAGAAAGAGACAUCUGGUAUAAAACACCAACAAGUUUAAUGACAUUCAGAGAUUGUCAAGCCCUAGUCUUCAAUACUGGUUAAGCCUUUAAGGUAGACUUUUAAAUGUUUUUAUUUAAUGAGGCAAGUCACUUAAGAACAAAUUCUUAUUUACCAUGGCAGCCUACCGGGGAACAGUGGGUUAACUGCCUUGUUCAGGGGCAGAAGGUAUAUUUUUACCUUAUCAGCUCGGGGACUUGGUUGCUGACCCAACGCUCAAACCACUAGGAUACCUGCCGCUGCAAAGAUGGGAUAUCUCCAUUUUAGUCGACCGACAGGCCAAGACUUCAAUACUGGGAAAGCCUACAAUGUAGGCAGUAGGGCUGUCCUCAGUGUAUUAGUAGUAGAAGGCUGUAGGUCAGUGUAUUAGCAGUAGAAGGCUGUAGGUCAGGUCAAUGUAUUAGUAGUAGAAGGCUGUAGGUCAGUGUAUUAGUAGUAGAAGGCUGUAGGUCAGGUCAAUGUAUUAGUAGUAGAAGGCUGUAGGUCAGUGUAUUAGUAGUAGAAGGCUGUAGGUGACGUCAGUGUAUUAGUAGUAGAAGGCUGAAGGUCAGGUCAGUGUAUUAGUAGUAGAAGGCUGAAGGUCAGGUCAGUGUAUUAAUAGUAGAAGGCUGAAGGUCAGUGUAUUAGUAGUAGAAGGCUGAAGGUCAGGUCAGUGUAUUAGCAGUAGAAGGCUGUAGGUCAGUGUAUUAGUAGUAGAAGGCUGAAGGUCAGGUCAGUGUAUUAGUAGUAGAAGGCUGUAGGUCAGUGUAUUAGUAGUAGAAGGCUGUAGGUCAGUGUAUUAGUAGUAGAAGGCUGUAGGUCAGUGUAUUAGUAGUAGAAGGCUGUAGGUCAGUGUAUUAGUAGUGGAAGGCUGUAGGUCAGGUCAGUGUAUUAGCAGUAGAAGGCUGUAGGUCAGUGUAUUAGUAGUAGAAGGCUGUAGGUCAGGUCAGUGUAUUAGUAGUAGAAGGCUGUGGGUCCGUGUAUUAGUAGUAGAAGGCUGUAGGUCAGGUCAGUGUAUUAGCAGUAGAAGGCUGUAGGUCAGUGUAUUAGCAGUAGAAGGCUGUAGGUCAGUGUAUUAGUAGUAGAAGGCUGAAGGUCAGGUCAGUGUAUUAGUAGUAGAAGGCUGUAGGUCAGUGUAUUAGUAGUAGAAGGCUGUAGGUCAGUGUAUAAGUAGUAGAAGGCUGUAGGUCAGUGUAUUAGUAGUAGAAGGCUGUAGGUCAGUGUAUUAGUAGUAGAAGGCUGUGGGUCAGUGUAUUAGUAGUAGAAGGCUGUAGGUCAGGUCAGUGUAUUAGCAGUAGAAGGCUGUAGGUCAGUGUAUUAGCAGUAGAAGGCUGUAGGUCAGUGUAUUAGUAGUAGAAGGCUGUAGGUCAGGUCAGUGUAUUAGUAGUAGAAGGCUGUAGGUCAGUGUAUUAGUAUUAGAAGGCUGUGGGUCAGUGUAUUAGUAGUAGAAGGCUGUAGGUCAGUGUAUUAGUAGUAGAAGGCUGUAGGUCAGUGUAUUAGUAGUAGAAGGCUGUAGGUCAGUGUAUUAGUAGUAGAAGGCUGUAGGUCAGGUCAGUGUAUUAGUAGUAGAAGGCUGUAGGUCAGUGUAUUAGCAGUAGAAGGCUGUAGGUCAGGUCAGUGUAUUAGUAGUAGAAGGCUGUAGGUCAGGUCAGUGUAUUAGUAGUAGAAGGCUGUAGGUCAGGUCAGUGUAUUAGUAGUAGAAGGCUGUAGGUCAGUGUAUUAGCAGUAGAAGGCUGUAGGUCAGUGUAUUAGUAGUAGAAGGCUGUGGGUCAGGUCAGUGUAUUAGUAGUAGAAGGCUGUAGGUCAGUGUAUUAGUAGUAGA